GAUGAACGCUGGCGGCGUGCCUAAUACAUGCGAGUCGAGCGAACAGACGAGGAGCUUGCUCCUCUGACGUUAGCGGCGGACGGGUGAGUAACACGUGGAUAACCUACCUAUAAGACUGGGAUAACUUCGGGAAACCGGAGCUAAUACCGGAUAAUAUAUUGAACCGCAUGGUUCAAUAGUGAAAGACGGUUUUGCUGUCACUUAUAGAUGGAUCCGCGCCGCAUUAGCUAGUUGGUAAGGUAACGGCUUACCAAGGCAACGGUGCGUAGCCGACCUGAGGGGGGGUACGGCCCACACGGAAAUGGGAACAGGGCCAAGACCCCUAGGGGGGGAAGAAGGGGGAAAUUUCGGAAAAGGGGGAAAGCCCGAAGGAAGACAGCCCGCGGGGGGGAAAAGGGCUUGGGGGGGUAAAACCCUUUUUUUGGGGAAAAAAAAAUGGGAAGUUAAUACCCCACUGUUUGGAGGGCACAAAAAGAAAAAGCACGGCCAAACGCGG
rnacentral:rRNA from 1 species